UUGUAGUGAUGUAUUGCCAACACAUCAUUCUGAAGAAAAGUGUGUGAUUUCCUGUGACUAUGAGCAUA